rnacentral:rRNA from 1 species
CCUACGGGAGGCAGCAGUGGGGAAUAUUGCACAAUGGGGGAAACCCUGAUGCAGCGACGCCGCGUGAGUGAAGAAGUAAUUCGUUAUGUAAAGCUCUAUCAGCAGGGAAGAAAAUGACGGUACCUGAGUAAGAAGCCCCGGCGAACUACGUGCCAGCAGCCGAGGUAAUACGUAGGGGGCAAGCGUUAUCCGGAUUUACUGGGUGGAAAGGGAGCGUAGACGGCAUUGCAAGUCUGGAGUGAAAGGCGGGGGCUCAACCCCCGGACUGCUGUGGAAACUGUACGGCUGGAGUGCAGGAGAGGUAAGUGGAAUUCCUAGUGUAGCGGUGAAAUGCGUAGAUAUUAGGAGGAACACCAGUGGCGAAGGCGGCUUACUGGACUGUAACUGACGUUGAGGCUCGAAAGCGUGGGGAGCAAACAGGAUUAGAUACCCGUGUAGUC